AUACGGGGGGGGCAAGCGUUGUUCGGAAUUAUUGGGCGUAAAGCGUAUGUAGGUGGUUGAAUAAGUCAGCCGUGUAAGCCCUCGGCUCAACCGGGGAAUUGCGUUUGAAACUAUUCAACUUGAGUGCAUAAGAGGAAAGCGGAAUUCCCAGUGUAGCGGUGAAAUGCGUUGAUAUUGGGAAGAACACCGGUGGCGAAGGCGGCUUUCUGGUCUGCUACUGACACUGAGAUACGAAAGCCAGGGGAGCGAGCGGGAUUAGAAACCCCAGUAGUCC
rnacentral:rRNA from 1 species